UCCUUGGUGGUCUAGUGGUUAGGAUUCUGAGCUUUCUCUGGAUUGCCAGGGCUCAGGUUCAAUUCCUGGUCUGGGAA
rnacentral:tRNA from 1 species